rnacentral:rRNA from 1 species
AUUGAGCGCUGGCGGCAGGCCUAACACAUGCAAGUCGAAUGGUAACAGGAAACAGCUUGCUGUUUCGCUGACGAGUGGCGGACGGGUGAGUAAUGUCUGGGAAACUGCCUGAUGGCGGGGGAUAACUACUGGAAACGGUAGUUAAUACCGAAUAACGUCGCAAGACCAAAGAGGGGGACCUUCGGGCCUCUUGCCAUCAGAUGCGCCCAGAUGGGAUUAGCUAGUAGGUGGGGUAACGGCUCACCUAGGCAACGAUCCCUAGCUGGUCUGAGAGGGAGACCGGCCACACUGGAAAUGAGACACGGUCCAGACUCCUACGGGAGGCAGCAGUGGGGAAUAUUCCGCAAUGGGCGCAAGCCUGAUGGAGCCAUGCAGCGUGUAUGAAGAAGGCCUUCGGAUUGUAAAGUACUGUCAGCGGGGAGGAAGGUAGUAAAAUUAAUACGUUUGCUCAUUGACGUUACCCGCAGAAGAAGCAACGGCUAACUCCGUG